GUCGAGUUUCACAUACACCGAGUCCCUGUUCUUUGUGUAUGCAGUUGUUUGUUUACGAGUGACAAGGACAGACUAACCACUUCCAAGUGCAUAAUUACCCAAAAGAGUUGAUAAAACCUGAGACUUUAUGAAUUACGAGGACAUCCAAAACGCGGUAUUGGGUUUCCUGGUCCUGUUAGCAGCCUCCUCCUUCUUCGGCAUGAUCAUCUUCGGAAUAGCCUGCGGGACAUGUCCUAAAGGAGCUUCUGCUGCUGCUGCUGCUAGCAAUUCUACGCAACAGACAGCCCCGACGCAACAGAUCGCAGGAUGACAAGAGGAGAAUACCAGCCGCCUCGCAUCUUUGAUUCGUUGCAGCUAAUAUUGUUGUUAAUUCGCAUUGCAUAUUUGUUUUUGUUUUUAUUAAGCUUCACCAAAGCUUUCUCUAAGUUAUUGGAAUCACUGUAUAAUAUUUUAUUAGCGUGUGGCUUAUUCUGUUGAUUUGCGGAAACUUUUAAUCAUGUUCAGAUUUGUUAUAGAAUGUUGUUUACGUUGUGAUUCAUAAUAAUAAAAAUAGUUUAUGUACUGCCA
rnacentral:lncRNA from 1 species